CCUACGGGAGACAGCAGUGAGGAAUAUUGGUCAAUGGCCGUAAGGCUGAACCAGCCAAGUCGCGUGAAGGAAGAAGGAUCUAUGGUUUGUAAACUUCUUUUAUAGGGGAAUAAAGGUAUCCACGUGUGGAUAUUUGCAUGUACCCUAUGAAUAAGCAUCGGCUAACUCCGUGCCAGCAGCCGCGGUAAUACGGAGGAUGCGAGCGUUAUCCGGAUUUAUUGGGUUUAAAGGGUGCGUAGGUUGUUUUUUAAGUCAGCGGUGAAAGUUUGUGGCUCAACCAUAAAAUUGCCGUUGAAACUGGAAGACUUGAGUGUGUUUGAGGUAGGCGGAAUGUGUGGUGUAGCGGUGAAAUGCAUAGAUAUCACGCAGAACUCCGAUUGCGAAGGCAGCUUACUAAGCCAUAACUGACACUGAAGCACGAAAGCGUGGGUAUCAAACAGGAUUAGAUACCCUAGUAGUC
rnacentral:rRNA from 1 species